rnacentral:rRNA from 1 species
GGAUUAGAUACCCUGGUAGUCCACGCCGUAAACGAUGUGUGCUAGUUGUUGGGCAGUUUACUGUUCAGUGACGCAGCUAACGCAUUAAGCACACCGCCUGGGGAGUACGGUCGCAAGAUUAAAACUCAAAGGAAUUGACGGGGACCCGCACAAGCGGUGGAGCAUGUUGUUUAAUUCGAAGCAACGCGAAGAACCUUACCUACCCUUGACAUACCUCUCGGGGAUUUCAGAGAUGAUUUCCUUCGGUUCGGCCGGAGAGUGUACAGGUGCUGCAUGGCUGUCGUCAGCUCGUGCUG